rnacentral:rRNA from 1 species
AACGAACGCUGGCGGCAGGCUUAACACAUGCAAGUCGAGCGCCCCGCAAGGGGAGCGGCAGACGGGUGAGUAACGCGUGGGAAUCUACCCUUGACUACGGAAUAACGCAGGGAAACUUGUGCUAAUACCGUAUGUGUCCUUCGGGAGAAAGAUUUAUCGGUCAAGGAUGAGCCCGCGUUGGAUUAGCUAGUUGGUGGGGUAAAGGCCUACCAAGGCG